UACGCUUCGCAGUACACUCGACUGUGGCUACCAAGAAUGGGGUAGGAAACUGGCAAACAGAUCAAAAAUGAACCCCAGUUUAAUAUGUCGGUCAAUUUUAAAUGCGGAUUCCUUUCAUGCGGAUUCCACCAUCAGAUAGAAUGUCCAGCAUCAAACGAAUAUACAAAAUACACAAUCAACAGUUUUCCGUCCGUGAUGUGGACUUAAUAAAGUUGAUGAAAGACGUGUUUAAUAUUUUAA